AGUUCCCAUGUUGAAAUGGCUGGAACUCUGAAACUUUCAACAGAAAACAAGUACUACUCGAUGCCAAAGAGACCCAUAGUAAGCUGGGCGUCUCGAAUGGUUAAGACCAAAAAAUAUGGAGCUGACGCUACAUGUUGAAAUGGUUAAGAACUACAACUCUACCAAAGGAGAAGACCAGAGAACGUGGAGAUCAUUCCCACGUUGAAAUGGCGAAGAUAUCUACAAAGAAUAAUUAUUCAGACUGCAGCCGUUUAAAUACUUUAGUCUGGUAAAUGCAUCCGAUUCUAAUAACAAUUCCAAAUGGUACUUUGAAGUAUCAGUUGUAACUACGGCAGACUGUGACUUCUGGGGAAUGCAACCAGAGACUUUUCUGUCAACUCUCUCCAGCAGAUGGACCCGCGACCACAGCGAGAGACAACAAGACAUACGCUCCUCAAUAUCAAACAUUCCAGUGCUGUCAUCAUCAAGGUGCAUCCCAUGGAAUGUCCUGAUCAGAUCAGUUCCCUGGGUAUCACAGAAACUUCUGACACUCAAGAGUGCCCCAAGGUAAUCUGCUGUGGCUGAACCAAGACACUCCAUUGGGAUCAGUUAGAGCAUGGGUGACAGAGCAUGGGUCGUCCAUCUCCCAUCAACACUGUCAUGCGCAUGUACGCUCGAGCGCACACACACCCUAACAUCCUUCUUCUCCACUGAAUUAAGACAGACUCACCUCCGAAGUGGGACAUAGAAAAAUAGAAACAACCCCAGCCUGGCUCAGAUAGCUACCUAGCCCUCUAUUAGACAUCUGGCUGGUCUCAAGACAUGAAACAACCCCAGCCUGGCUCAGAUAGCUACCUAGCCCUCUUAGUCAUCUGGCUGGUCUGAAGACAUGAAACAACCCCAGCCUGGCUCAGAUAGCUACCUAGCCCUCUAUUAGUCAUCUGGCUAGUCUGAAGACAUGAAACAACCCAUUACAAUGCAGGUCACACACUUAGGAAUACAGAUAGGCUAGUGGCUCUUUCUGCUGUGCCAGUCAAUUAUUUAAGGUGCAAGAUUAAAGAGGAGCCCCAAGUGUGUAUGUGGUGAUGGUUGUGAUGAAACAGUAUAUUUUUCACUGGAUCCCAGAGUGUAUACUUCUGUGCAGGUGUAGAUCUUCUUAAUAUGGCGUUUCAGGUGUGGGGUGGUUUUAAUCACUCCAAAGUUGGCGUUUCGUGAGUGGUUUUAAUCACUCCAAAGCUGGCAUAGCAUUAUAAGAGCCUGUGGGAGAAAUGUCAGGCAGCACCACUGACGAGGAGACUCCUGCAUGCGUGUGCACAGGCGCGUAUGAGAAAUACACUGAGCAAUUAUUCCAGUGUCAACAAUGGAGUGUCUCCACCUGUUCACCACUAUAUAGAGGCACAGAUGGUCAGUACUUCAGUGCUCAUGCCACCUGGUGGUCAUUCUGGCCAAAUGACAACCACAGAGAGAGAGGUGGCAGAGACAUGAAGACAGGAAGACAGAUUGGGAGACUGAUCCAUAGUAUAGAGAAAUUAUAGCCGGAUUUACAUUUAGACCGACCAGAGAGGAAUUAACAAUCAAAUUAGCCUCUGAAAUACACCCCCCCCCCCUUUACUCCAUAUAUAUGUAUUCACAUUUUAUACACUUAAAGUAAACAGCAACCAUCGCUUCUGAUAGUCAAAUCGAAAUUCAGAGUAGAGCUCACUCAUGUCUACCUGAAAUUCAAACAUAUUCAUAAUGAGCUAUGAAAAUAACACUUGGAACUCUGGGCAAUCCCUUCCAUAGACAUACUGUCCAUCUUGACAUUGCACUGAAACCAUACAUUUUCACAGCUUAUGUUGACAUAAUCAUGUGUACUGUAUGUCUCCCAUCUAUUGACACCACUGUUAUAAAUGUUAGGUUGCCAGAUAUUCAAACAAUUCUAAAGUGUUUUGUUGGUUAAAGAGGCUGGAGUAUUAGCACAAGGUCUCUAUUAAAACAGCAGUCUGUCAAGCAGGAACAGCGGUCUAAAAUGUCAAUAUGUGGUGCUUUAAGUAUAAAAUGCUUGUUUCUAUUGUGCAACUCAGUCCGAGUCCGUCAGGGUGAAUGAACACACACUCCCAGAAAGCACUCACGGGGAUAAACAGAAUACAGUCAUGCAUAGUGUCUUUACACAAAUACCUCAAGUUCUAUGUAUAAAUGUUUGCCUCCUGAGGCUAAGCCAGUCAGUAUGUUAAUAGCAGAAUGAAUACACAAGUAUUUCUCACACAAUACCAGACAUGAGAAAGAUACAGUGGUGUACUGAAAG